rnacentral:rRNA from 1 species
UACGUAGGCAGCAAGCGUUGUUCGGAGUUACUGGGCGUAAAGGGUGUGUAGGCGGUUCUUUUAAGUUUGGUGUGAAAUCUCCCGGCUCAACCGGGAGGGUGCGCCGAAUACUGAGGGACUCGAGUGCGGGAGAGGAAAGUGGAAUUCCCGGUGUAGCGGUGAAAUGCGUAGAGAUCGGGAGGAACACCAGCGGCGAAGGCGGCAAACUGGAUAGGCACUGACACUCAACAACGAAAGCGUGGGGAGCAAACAGG